UGAGGAAUAUUGGUCAAUGGGUGCAAGCCUGAACCAGCCAUCCCGCGUGAAGGACGACUGCCCUAUGGGUUGUAAACUUCUUUUGUAUAGGGAUAAACCUACCCUCGUGAGGGUAGCUGAAGGUACUAUACGAAUAAGCACCGGCUAACUCCGUGCCAGCAGCCGCGGUAAUACGGAGGGUGCAAGCGUUAUCCGGAUUUAUUGGGUUUAAAGGGUCCGUAGGCGGACUUAUAAGUCAGUGGUGAAAGCCUGUCGCUUAACGAUAGAACUGCCAUUGAUACUGUAAGUCUUGAGUAUAUUUGAGGUAGCUGGAAUAAGUAGUGUAGCGGUGAAAUGCAUAGAUAUCAAGAGGAACACCUGAGGCGAAGGCGGGUUGCUGGGCCGACACUGACGCUGAUGCGCGAAAGCCAGGGGAGCAAACG
rnacentral:rRNA from 1 species